UACAGAAGCAGUGCUCUUGUCGCAGCCUCUUGUGGUGGGGUCGCUUUCUGUGACCAGCUUGGAUUAUCCUGGAACAAAGAUCUGGAGAACAGGAGCACCUCAAGUCUGAGAGCCUGAUCUGCGCCCUGAAGUCCAGACCUGGACCCCCAACUGCCUUUUUAACAUCUCCGCUUGGAAGUCUAGAAAGCAUCCCAGAUUUGACAUGUCCACAACGGAAAUCACGAUUUUUUUCCUUCACAAGCCUGCCUCUUCCUUGGUUUUACCCAUCUUAAUAAACGAUUCCAUUCUUCCA